UACGAAGGGUGCAAGCGUUACUCGGAAUUACUGGGCGUAAAGCGUGCGUAGGUGGUUUGUUAAGUCUGUUGUGAAAGCCCCGGGCUCAACCUGGGAAUGGCAAUGGAUACUGGCAGGCUAGAGUGCGGUAGAGGGUAGUGGAAUUCCCGGUGUAGCGGUGAAAUGCGUAGAGAUCGGGAGGAACACCAGUGGCGAAGGCGGUCUGCUGGGCAGUUGCUGACACUGACGCUCAUGCACGAAAGCGUGGGGAGCAAACAGG
rnacentral:rRNA from 1 species